rnacentral:rRNA from 1 species
UGCAUGUCUCAGUACUGGCCGACCUAAGGCGAAACCGCGAAUGGCUCAUUAAAUCAGUCAUGAUUCAUUGGAUGUUGUAAUAUCCUUACUCGGAUAACUGUGGUAAUUCUAGAGCUAAUACGUGCAACGAAUGCUCCAACCCCGCCUUAACCGGCGGGGGAAGGGCGCAUUUAUUAGACCAAAAACCGGGUGGACAUAGUGAAGUUGCGUCUUUUUUUCUUUUUCAUAAGAAAUAAGCGUCGCUUCCGUCCAAUCCUCUUCGGUUACGUGGUGACUCUGAAUAACUACAGCCGAGCGCUGAGGUCUUUGUACCGGCGCCGUAUCCUUCAAGUGUCUGCCUUAUCAGCUCUCGAUUGUAGGUUAUUCGCCUACAAUGGCUGUAACGGGUAACGGGGAAUCAGGGUUCGAUUCCGGAGAGGGAGCCUGAGAAACGGCUACCACAUCUAAGGAAGGCAGCAGGCACGCAAAUUACCCAAUCCCGGCUCGGGGAGGUAGUGACGAAAAAUAACGAUGCGGGACUCUUCCGAGGCCUCGCAAUCGGAAUGAGUUCAAUUUAAAAACUUGGACGAGGAUCCAUUGGAGGGCAAGUCUGGUGCCAGCAGCCGCGGUAAUUCCAGCUCCAAUAGCGUAUAUUAA